GUCCAUUUGCAUUUCUCGAAUAGGUGAACAUUAGUCUCCAUUACUUUCUCAUCACAUAAACAACAUUCAGUGUCAUCAACCUGAAUAUUCAAUCUCAGCUUUCUCUCCUGUGUAAGAUUUCUAUUUCACUAGAGUAUUAUAUUAUUAAAAGAAUUAAUUAUUGAACAUAAAUUUGCUUCAUAGUCAAAGCACACCAGUAAAAAAGAGUUGGUAUCAAUGAAAACAAAAUUAUGACAUGAGAGAUUAGUACACUUGACUUGAACACAAGUUUCAAAAUAAACCAUGAAGAGAAAACAAAUAAAUAAUUAGCCAUCUUUAUAAUUCUAUACACAAAAUGGAGAUGAAAGUGUAGGUCAGAAAGACCACAGAUUACAGAACUAUGAUCACCAGUCAUCUUUCCUUCUCCGUUGGAUGGCAUUUUAGUUCACUUUUCUCCAUUCUUUUUACACACCUUAUCUCAGAAUCUCCCAUCAAAUUUAACUCUGUGUGUGUGGCGUACCUAGAAUCUAACAACAUCUUUUGACUAAAUACCAUCCUAAAUUACCCCUACAUUUAUACAGUGUGCUAUUGGAAGUUACUCACUUUAGGAAACAUGAAGUUCUUAUCUUUAAUCUAUCACUUACUUGGUUGUUUAAGUUAUUUUUAUUUUAUUGCACGGAGAGUUACUUACAUUUUGAAAAAUGUUGUUCUAAGCUUUUAACAAUUAUUUAUUUGGCGUUCACACUUUGUGAGUGCUCUCUUCAAAACGUGGAAAAAAUAUAUCCUAAAUAGCUUCUACGACAAUCGCAGUAAUGCAUCAAACAAUGACACUGUAGUUUAUCUGAAUUACUCACCUAAUCAAUUAAGAUCUUGACACACUUUCUACAGAUCUUUUAAGAUCCUAGAUGAAACAUAAGUAUCUUUAAAGUUAUAGCUCGCUAAUUACUAUUUUUUGCACUCAGUUUUAGAAUUCUUUAGUUGACGAUUGGUGUUUACUUGAUUUUUGAAGGUAUUUCAAAACAUCUCCCUGUUAUGUGUUUCCGGGAUAGCAAAGGUUGGCUACUAAGCUAGGUAUUGUAUCUCCAACACAAUUGAAAUGAUAGAUCAAGUUAGCUCUGCAAUAUUUACUAAAACUGUAAGUUCUUGAAAUCUUUUGGAUAUCUUUCAUCUUAAAUAUCAGUAGAUUUUCUUAAAUAUUUGUUCAAGGUUCUUCAUUCCUCCAACUGGCCGUGGUUUAGUGUUUAUGUGAUUAUACUUGUUGUCAUUGUUACAGUUCCUUACAUAUAUGCUCCGCAUUAUUUUGUUAAAAGUGUAGAUAGGUAAUAUAAUUAUUCUACAUCACUAUAGUGUAAGAGUAAGUAUGCUAACCAAAAGGGCACUGUGUGUAAUUGCAUCAGGGGCGUAAUAAUAAAAAUUUCUAUUAAUUCUAUUGUAUAGAAACAUGAAGAGCUAGGACGACCAAUGGCAUAACCAUAAAUAUACUCAAUAUUGAAGGGUAAUAUGGUCAUUAUACAACACUAAUUUUUUAGCAAUUAACAUGCGCCUCUUCUAUUUUCCUUCUAGAACAUUCUCUCUCUUCCUUCCAUGUUGCAAUUAAGAGAUGACUCAAGAAAAAGAAUUGGUAAAUUGAUCGGAUCUUUCCUAAACCUCCUCUCUCUAGACCUAAUAUGUGAUCUAUCUAUUUCAUAGACUUCUCUUGUGAUGCUACUAAAGCAGGAAUGGGUGGUGUAAAUGGUUUAAUUAUCGGUAUAUAUAAUCGGUUUAUACACAUAGGUAGCUUUAUGAACUUUAAAAAGGAUAUCUAGAAGGAUUGUAACAUGUCAUAUUCUACAAUUCUGAAGAGUAAGCAUGAUGAAUCUUUCUGAUUGAUAAAAAUGGCCUCGAGAGGGAUUGUAACAUGUCAUAUUUUUACAAUUGUGAAGAAUAAGCAUAUGUUGGAAUAUGAAUUUCAUAAAUUGUUGUUUCUUUCUGAUGAAUGUAGUAUAAUUGGUGCAGGUGAUUGACGGUUUAGUUCCAUUAACAGAGAUGUUCAAUUGCGUUAGUAAAACUUGAAAGGGAAUGACAAAGGAGCAUGCAUCGUACAUUAUGCAAUUAGGCAAGUUUGAUGUUGUCCCUCAACACAUUCAAAUCAGCUUGCCAAAAAGGAAGAAGCAGCAGUUGUUUAGUCAGUCAGCUUUCAAAUUUGGAUCCACGAACUUAAAAAUAGGUAUUUUUACUCAAUGAAGGGACUGCUCUUUGACAUCAUCUUGUCUUUUGGUGUUGCAAUUUCAGUUUGAUCUUUUAUCUUAAUUUUAGCCAUUAUUUUAAGAUUCUCUUUACAUUUUCCAACAUGGUUGAAGCGGUUAUAUUUUGACUAGCUUUCACUGCCAUAAAUUUCAUAGAGGCAAGUCAACAUGCCGGUUUUAUACUGAUUUGUUGUGAAUUUCAACCUCUUACUUGUUCUCCUAUGCUUGGUGGUUAAUUUCUUUAAAUUUUUUUACUCAACGGUUAGUCUCCCGUGGUUUCCACUCCAAGUCCACCAAUCCAACGUAAACUUGCCAACAUCGUAUUUCAUGAAACUUGUGUGCACUUACCAAACUACCCUGCCCCUUCGCCCUCAACCAUUAGCUCCCACGCCUAAUAACAAGGACAUCAUAGUAAAAUCACUUUGUUACCGUAAUCGAACAGACCCCAUAGAAUAUAGUUGGACUGGUUAUUUUUUUCUUUAACUUCUUUAAUAAUAAUUAAGAAUCUACGUUAACACUUGACUAAUAGUAUAUGAGUUCCCUCUGUUCUUUUUUCCAUCAUAAAGUUUAAUUUUUCUUUGUUGUUUCUAAAUUAAAACUUGUAUUCUUUUAAUUCCAAUCUUUUAACCUUUUAGGUGAACCAAGAAAAGAAAAAAUGUUGGAUGCAUAAAAGAAUAACAAGUUUUAUUCCCAAUGGUAAGAGUGACAAUUUGUUAGGGUUGGUUUUUUUUUUCCAUAAAUAUUUUUCAGAAUGUAGAAAAUUAUUUUUCUUGUUAAUUUUGCUUAUGUUGUGGGAAUUUUCUGAUAUAACAAGAGUCUACAAUCAGGCAGACGAAAACUCAAAUCGAAAUGAUCAGGAAGUAGAGAUAUGCAAUGUAGAAAUAUUUGAAGAAUGAUAUAACUGGCGUCUUAAAAUAUGGAUUGGAUGUCAACCCCUGCCACAGGGUAAUUUUCUUUUGUUGGAAUUGAUCCAUCUAUAUAUUCUGUUAUUCUAUCACUUAGUUUUAUUUUAUAUGGCCUCUUUCUUUAUACUGAUUUGUUGUGAGUUUUAGUUUUAUUUUAUAUGGCCUGUUUCUUUAUACUGAUUUGUUUGAGUUUCAACCUCUUACGUGUUCUCCUAUUCUUUGGUGGUUAAUUCCAUUAGUUUUUUUGUAUGUGCAUGUUAGUUCGUGCACAUAUCUUUUCUUCUACUUGAUUUUCCUAAAACCAAAUACACGCUAUCACUAAGAAUAAUGGUCUAUUGAGUUCUCUUCCUCUCAAUGCAACUGCAUUGCUUUGGCUAAUUUAUAUGAGCUUAAGGAAAAAGAAAAUGUAGAGUGAAUUUUUUAAAAAGAAAAUGUAGAGUGAUUUUUUUUUCUUUCUUUCUUUUCGGUGAUUACUAAGAAAGGCUAAUGAUCUAAAUUUAUGCAUUCUCUAAGUUGGUCUUUUUCAUAAGCACCAUGCCAAGUCAAAAAGGGCCACAUAAAAUAGGAUAGAUGGAGUAUAAUUUUUUUUUAAAUGUACUUCCUAUCAUAAAUAGUUAUUUUUGUAAUGAAAAAAUUAACAUAAAAUGUAUUCUUGAUAAAAAUAUUAGCCCCCCCCCCCUCCCCCUAAAAUUGAGGGCCCAAGGCAUGUGCUUACUUUUUAUAGCAUAGAGUUUACCAUGUGUUGCAAUUCUCAAGCCUUAAUUAGCUCUUGAAGAAGGUUAGCAACCACAUAUAUCUUCCUUCUCAGAAAUAUUUAUGCACAAAUAUACUUAUAUACGUGCAAGAUGUUUUAACAGUAAAUAUUGAAAUAUAGCGCAAGACUCUUCUCAUAUGAGCCAGACAUGUUUCAAUAUUCUAUGUGCUAAGAGGAUUCUUCCAUGAUUGUGAUUUUGAAUUUUGCAAUGUGAAUGACAGGAAUACUUUCUUGAAUCUAUUUCCUUAGGGCAUUGAGUGAAGGUUGUUCCUUUCAAAUUCACAUAUAACUUGGUAUAUGUUAAUUCUUUGUGGUUAUCUUCAGUAUUUUAUUUUAAAUUGACAUAUAACUUGUAAUAUGCUGGUUCUUUGUGAUUGUCUUCACUAUUUUAUUUUUACUUUUGCUUUAAGUGCUACUAUUUUUAUGAACAGUUGUUAUUUCGGAACUUUUAUUCCUUUCCUUGAGAUAUUAAAGCUGGAGUAUAUAGUUCGUGCUGAGUGAAGGAAAUUUUGCAUCUUAUCAAGACAAUUGCAAACACUCGAGGCAUCAAUGGAUUUAUGAAACGGAAUUUUAUUACUCUACAUGCAGCUCCAUUUAAGGAUACCAACUUCUAUUCUUUUGAAAAAUACAGAGAGCAUCUACUCAAAUUUACUACUAAUGAUUCAAGGCAUCACUAGAUUUUGUAAAAUGAAUUUUGUCAUAUUCUAUGAUUAGCUCUAUGUAAGUCUAUCCACUUCUAUUUUCUUAUGAUAAAUAUUGAAAAGUAUUUAGAAGAUAGUUGUCUGCAAUGUAAAGUUAUUUGUGGAAAGGGAGAAAUUAGUUGUAUUAUUGCACUUUGAAGUUCAUUUGUAUAACUUAUGCAAUGAUCUAUUAGCUUUUACAAUAUAUACUCUUAUCCGAGUAACUAUGCAAAGUACAUACCACUUGAAAAUGCUAAAUGUUGGGCCCGUGUAAGCACGGGCUAUAUCCAUCUAGUCUAUCUAUUAUAUAGAAACGUGAUGAGAGGACGACCACUGGCAAUACCGUAAUUAUACUCAUUUUUAAGGGUAAAAUGUAAUACAGCUGUUUUUAAGAAAAUUAGAAGCACUCCUUUCUUUUCACUUUAGAUAUUUUUUGUUUUUCUUAUUCUUUCUUAUGUUACUACUAGAUAAUGUGGCCCGUGCUAUAAUAUAAAUGGUAUGUUUUGGGGCUAAUAAUCGAGUUUUUGAAGCGAUUGUUUGCGUGGAUAAAGGAAUUAAGUUUUUUUUUAUCACAAACCUGUACUUUCUUUGACACUAUUUAAGGCAUAAUAAGACUACCCACAUACAACAUUUUUGAAAUAUUUUAUGUUGUCAAUUAUCAUGAUUUAUAGUAUUUUUACGAUAGAUUCACUUCAAGAAUCAGUGGAAUUUUUUGUAUUUUUUUCAAAACAUAUUUUAUAUUGUCAAUUAUCAAGAUUUAUAGUAUUUUUACGCAAUUUUUAAAUAUAAAAAUAAANNNNNNNNNNNNNNNNNNNNNNNNNNNNNNNNNNNNNNNNNNNNNNNNNNNNNNNNNNNNNNNNNNNNNNNNNNNNNNNNNNNNNNNNNNNNNNNNNNNNNNNNNNNNNNNNNNNNNNNNNNNNNNNNNNNNNNNNNNNNNNNNNNNNNNNNNNNNNNNNNNNNNNNNNNNAAGGUUAGCAAAAAAAUAUAUCUUCCUUCUCAGAAAUAUUUAUGCACAAAUAUACUUAUAUACGUGCAAGAUGUUUUAACAGUAAAUAUUGAAAUAUAGCGCAAGACUCUUCUCAUAUGAGCCAGACAUGUUUCAAUAUUCUAUGUGCUAAGAGGAUUCUUCCAUGAUUGUGAUUUUGAAUUUUGCAAUGUGAAUGACAGGAAUACUUUCUUGAAUCUAUUUCCUUAGGGCAUUGAGUGAAGGUUGUUCCUUUCAAAUUCACAUAUAACUUGGUAUAUGUUAAUUCUUUGUGGUUAUCUUCAGUAUUUUAUUUUAAAUUGACAUAUAACUUGUAAUAUGCUGGUUCUUUGUGAUUGUCUUCACUAUUUUAUUUUUACUUUUGCUUUAAGUGCUACUAUUUUUAUGAACAGUUGUUAUUUCGGAACUUUUAUUCCUUUCCUUGAGAUAUUAAAGCUGGAGUAUAUAGUUCGUGCUGAGUGAAGGAAAUUUUGCAUCUUAUCAAGACAAUUGCAAACACUCGAGGCAUCAAUGGAUUUAUGAAACGGAAUUUUAUUACUCUACAUGCAGCUCCAUUUAAGGAUACCAACUUCUAUUCUUUUGAAAAAUACAGAGAGCAUCUACUCAAAUUUACUACUAAUGAUUCAAGGCAUCACUAGAUUUUGUAAAAUGAAUUUUGUCAUAUUCUAUGAUUAGCUCUAUGUAAGUCUAUCCACUUCUAUUUUCUUAUGAUAAAUAUUGAAAAGUAUUUAGAAGAUAGUUGUCUGCAAUGUAAAGUUAUUUGUGGAAAGGGAGAAAUUAGUUGUAUUAUUGCACUUUGAAGUUCAUUUGUAUAACUUAUGCAAUGAUCUAUUAGCUUUUACAAUAUAUACUCUUAUCCGAGUAACUAUGCAAA
rnacentral:lncRNA from 1 species